AGGCAGCAGUAGGGAAUUUUCCACAAUGGGCGAAAGCCUGAUGGAGCAACACAGCGUGUAGGAUGAAGGCCUUCGGGUUGUAAACUACUGUUAUAUGGGAAGAAAAACUAGUAUAGGAAAUGAUAUUAGCUUGACGGUACCAUGUCAGAAAGCAACGGCUAACUAUGUGCCAGCAGCCGCGGUAAUACAUAGGUUGCAAGCGUUAUCCGGAAUUAUUGGGCGUAAAGCGUCUGUAGGUUGUUUGUUAAGUCUGGUGUUAAAACUUGGAGCUCAACUCCAAAUUGCAUUGGAUACUGGCAGACUAGAAUUGUUUAGAGGUUAGCGGAAUUCCUUGUGAAGCGGUGGAAUGCGUAGAUAUAAGGAAGAACACCAACAUGGCGAAGGCAGCUAACUGGGAACAUAUUGACACUGAGAGACGAAAGCGUGGGGAGCAAACAGGAUUAGAUACCCUGGUAGUCCACGCUGUAAACGAUGAUGACUAGUUGAUGGAAACCAUCGACGCAGCUAACGCAUUAAGUCAUCCGCCUGAGUAGUAUGCUCGCAAGAGUGAAACUUAAAGGAAUUGACGGGGAUCCGCACAAGCGGUGGAGCAUGUGGUUUAAUUUGAGGCUACGCGUAGAACCUUACCCACUCUUGACAUCUUCUGCAAAGCUAUAGAGAUAUAGUGGAGGUUAACAGAAUGACAGAUGGUGCAUGGUUGUCGUCAGC
rnacentral:rRNA from 2 species